rnacentral:tRNA from 1 species
GCCUCGAUAGCUCAGCCGGUAGAGCGCUUGCAUGGUAAGCAAGAGGUCAUGGGUUCAACUCCCAUUCGAGGCU